UACGUAGGUGACAAGCGUUGUCCGGAUUUACUGGGUGUAAAGGGCGCGUAGGCGGGAUAGCAAGUCAGUCGUGAAAUGCCGAGGCUUAACCUCGGAGCUGCGAUUGAGACUGUUAUUCUUGAGUAUCGGAGAGGAAAGCGGAAUUCCUAGUGUAGCGGUGAAAUGCGUAGAUAUUCGGAGGAACACCGGUGGCGAAGGCGGCCAACUGGGCUUUAACUGACGCUGAGGCUCGAAAGUGUGGGGAGCAAACAGG
rnacentral:rRNA from 1 species